UCUGCUUCACCCAGACCAUUUCGUGCUUCACCCUGUCUAAUCCGCACGCGCGAGAGAGUGACGGCGGCGACGGGCGGUAGCGACGCUGGAGAGGGUUGCGUCGUCGCGGGCUCCUUCGCCGGCGAGGGCAGGAGAGGGUUUCUGCCCCCACCCCCCCACAAGUGGUGGUGGGCUGCGAGGGCCAAUGCGCGUGGCGGCGAGUGCUAGUAUGGCGCGCACUGCUGAAGGAGGCGCAGGCGGUGGUCGGCGCCACUGUCAGGUGGAGGAAGGCGGCCUCCGCUGCGGCGGAGAUCGAGGGGAGGCGCCCCAUCGUUCUCGUCGAUCCCCCUCUGCUAUCUCUUCCUCCCCGAUUCCAUUCGAGCAGCCGACGCCGCCACGGAGUCGAUCCACACCGGCAGCCUCGAUCCAUUCCGCCAACACCGGUGCGGCAGCGAGGCUGCGUCGGUCCGUCGAGCCCGCCAGCAGCGAGCCUGCGCUGUUGGCCAGGCUCGCGAGGCCGAGUCUGAGCCACGACUCUUUGUUGAGUAGCAGCGAGGUUGCAUCAGGACGGCGGCGAGCUCUUCUUCGAGGACGCGUGCCCAUCGACCGAGGACUGCAAGGCCAACGACGAAGGUCGCAACCACAUCGUGAACCUGGAGCAGCAGUGCUGCUUCAUAUCGCUCUAAUCCUAUGGGAAAAAUUUGAAGCCAGUUUGAACCGAAGACAACCCCGCCUCCUCUAACAAACAAGGCUGAUUGGGAGAUUAACCCACUUGAAUUGGACUUCACAAAAGCAGCUAUCAUUGGAAAGGUUUGAAGUCUUGAAACAUCUCUUAGGCUCUUACUCAAUGCAAUUAUUUGAUAAACAUUAGCAUAUUUUACUGAUUUUGGUAUUAUCCAUUAUGACUGCUAAUAAUUGCUCAUAGUCAUUUGUAAAGAAGAGCUUAGAAUCAUGAUCAGUGAAGCUAAAGCUUGAACCAGUGGAUUGUUUUGUUCUCUGUCUAACUAGAGAUCUCUCCUACUUAAAAAAACAGCAAGACUUGUUCACCCUCUGUUGAUUCCUUAGCCAUCGUCCGUCUCCGAUCGCUGUUCGUUCCCGAUCGGACUCCAGUGCCCGCGGUCCGUACGCCCGCACAACCGCCCCACCCUUCUCUCCCCUCUCCUUGCCCCCAGCUUCUCCGCUCACGCCCAAUCCUCCUAGCCCUGCUCCCGAAAUCGCUGCCCCAUCCCCAUCCUCAUCGCCACCUGCCCCAUCCUCAUCCGCCGCCUUGUCUUCUCCGCUGUCGUGUGGUCCCAAGGAGGAGAGCCCGCUCCCAUCGCAACCCGUGCCAACACGUCCGGAACCCUCGCCGCCUCCUACGCCCCACUGCCGCCGCCUCCCCUGACACUCGUAUUCGUCCCAACCCCCUGCUCCCUUGUGCUCCUCUGCCUCCAUGCCUACCUCCGUGCCACACCCCCUCCGUAUCGGAUUGGCGUGGAGUGGAGGUCCAUCUGCGGGAUCGAUCUGCGCGGCGGGGAUCGAUCGAUUUGACGGGAGGCGGAGGCAAGCGGAGAAGAUGGCGUGUGCAACUUCCCGUUUUGGGAGAUGAAGCCGGCGUAGAUCGUGGAGGCGCUGCACAGCUACGGCAUCGCGCCCAACGCCAACCUCCGCGCCGAAUACAUCGCCAGCCCCCAGCCCGACCUCCUCCCCACUGUCCUCUCCCUCUUCCUCGCCACCAUUGUUGGUUAACAUAGGAGACAACGGUGCCAGCUGCCCCCGCUCCCGUCGCUGCCGUGUGCGUGUGUCUGUGUUUGCGGCGAGAAAUCUGAUGCUGAAGCUGAUCCCGAUGCAAUGCCCUUGUUGACAGUUCCACGGCACCAAGGAGCUCUUCCUCUCCGAUCACUUUGACUUGCAGAGUGCCCACACCAUCGAGGGCAAGUGCAUCGUCCACUCCUUCAGGAACUACACCAAGCUCGACAAUGUCAGGCCCAAGGACUUCUUCUGCCGAUUUGAGUACAAAGCGGCCACCGGCUCAUUCAUCCCUGACCGCGUUGCUGUGUACAUAGUUCCUCAAGCCAUUUCUCAUUGAUGGUUCCUUUCUGUGAGUGCAUUGUGAGCUUGCUUGCCUAAUAAUUUGGGUGUGUUAUUCAGUUUCAAGGUAUUGCAAAUGUGAAAUGCCGUACAACCCAGAUGAUUUCAUGAUCUCCCAAGCCGAUUUUGAGUUGAUGAAACAGACGCAAGAAAAUUCUGAGCUAUUGUCCAAAGUUGUUCAGUCCCCAGAAAAGCUUCAGGAGCCAAAAUAUCACCUUGAUUGAUCAAUACACGAAGCGCCAUCAUCGCUAUGACUUUCCUUCGUCACAAGUCACAAAGCCGUCAAAAUUAUUUUUGGCAUCAAACUUCUGCUUGUGCUGAAGCUGCAGCGCCAAAGCUGCAAGCACUAUUCUCAGCACCCGAUUAUGAGGUGCAAGCACUUCAAAAUCGGUGGAGAUAAGAAGGGCAAGGGAACAUCUCUCUUCUAAUCUGAUGAUAGGCAUAGCGAUGAUGUUCUCCCACUGUCAAGUUGUCUGUCGAAAGUUCACUAUUAAGAUGUUUUAUCUUGUUUUUGUCUUGAGAUGCAUCAGGUGGAUUCUCUCUCUGGAAUAGUGCAAUAUACCCUAUAAUUAUCGUCUGCAAGUGCUA